AACGAACGCUGGCGGCAGGCCUAACACAUGCAAGUCGAGCGAGGUAGCAAUACCUAGCGGCGGACGGGUUAGUAACGCGUGGGAACGUGCCCAAAGGUACGGAAUAGCCUCGGGAAACUGAGAGUAAUACCGUAUGUGCCCUUCGGGGAAAGAUUUAUCGCCUUUGGAUCGGCCCGCGUUGGAUUAGGUAGUUGGUGGGGUAAUGGCCUACCAAGCCGACGAUCCAUAGCUGGUUUGAGAGGAUGAUCAGCAACACUGGGACUGAGACACGGCCCAGACUCCUACGGGAGGCAGCAGUGGGGAAUCUUAGACAAUGGGGGAAACCCUGAUCUAGCCAUGCCGCGUGAGCGAUGAAGGCCUUAGGGUUGUAAAGCUCUUUCAGCUGGGAAGAUAAUGACGGUACCAGCAGAAGAAGCCCCGGCUAACUCCGUGCCAGCAGCCGCGGUAAAGUCUGUACU
rnacentral:rRNA from 1 species